UGGGGAAUUGUUCGCAAUGGGCGAAAGCCUGACGCAGUAACGCCGCGUGGAGGAUGAAGGCCUUCGGGUUGUAAACUCCUGUCAGGAGGAACGACGGGAGUAGAAUAAAUAGUUCUAUUCCCAGACGGUACCUCCAAAGGAAGCCCCGGCUAACUCUGUGCCAGCAGCCGCGGUAAUACAGAGGGGGCAAGCGUUGUUCGGAAUUACUGGGCGUAAAGGGCGCGUAGGCGGCCCUCUAAGUCGAACGUGAAAUCCCUGGGCUCAACCCAGGAACUGCGUCCGAGACUGGGGGGCUAGAAUCCGGGAGAGGGAUGUGGAAUUCCAGGUGUAGCGGUGAAAUGCGUAGAGAUCUGGAGGAACACCGAUGGCGAAGGCAGCCCCCUGGGCUAACACUGACGCUCAUGCACGAAAGCGUGGGGAGCAAACAGGAUUAGAUACCCACGUAGUCCCUGAGCGGGCUGGCAAGGCGCAU
rnacentral:rRNA from 1 species